AACGAACGUUAGCGGCGCGCUUAACACAUGCAAGUCGAACGAGAAAGGGCUUCGGCCCCGGUACAGUGGCGCACGGGUGAGUAACACGUGGGUAACCUUCCCUCGAGCGGGGGAUAACGUUCCGAAAGGAACGCUAAUACCGCAUAAGACCACGGGCUCGAAAGAGCCUGGGGUAAAAGUAGGCCUCUGAAUUCACGCUUACACUCGAGGAUGGGCCCGCAGCCCAUCAUGGUAGUUGGUAGGGUAACGGCCUGCCAAGCCGAAGACGGGUAGCUGGUCAUAGAGGAUGAUCGGCCACAAUGGACCGGAGACAAGGUCCAGACUCCUACGGGAGGCAGCAGUGGGGAAUCUUGCGGGAAGGGCGAAGGCCUGACGAAGCGGCGCGGAGUGGAUGAUGAAGGCCUUCGGGUUGUAAAGCCCUGUGGGGGGAGACGAAUAAGACGUGGCUAACAUCCACGGCGAUGACGGUAUCUCCGUAGCAAGCACCGGCUAACUAUGUGCCAGCAGCCGCCGUAAAAC
rnacentral:rRNA from 1 species